rnacentral:rRNA from 1 species
GCACAACGCGAAGAACCUUACCUAGACUUGACAUCUCCUGAAUUACCGGUAAUGCGGGAAGCCCUUCGGGGCAGGAAGACAGGUGGUGCAUGGUUGUCGCCAGCUCGUGUCGUGAGAUGUUGGGUUAAGUCCCGCAACGAGCGCAACCCUUAUUGUUAGUUGCUACCAUUAAGUUGAGCACUCUAGCAAGACUGCCGGGGUUAACUCGGAGGAAGGUGGGGAUGACGUCAAAUCAUCAUGCCCCUUAUGUCUAGGGCUACACACGUGCUACAAUGGCGAGUACAACGAGAGGCAAAGCCGCGAGUCGGAGCAAAACUAUAAAACUCGUCCCAGUUCGGAUUGUAGGCUGAAACUCGCCUACAUGAAGCCGGAGUUGCUAGUAAUCGCGAAUCAGCAUGUCGCGGUGAAUACGUUCCCGGGUCUUGUACACACCG